rnacentral:lncRNA from 1 species
CUAGUUCCCUAGCUGUUAGGAAGCUUGUUGGUUAAGGUGUUUAUUUUCUAGCCUUUUAUUUAGAGACUGACUCCUUAGUUCAGUUAGCAAUUCAACAGCUUAGCAGCCUUUAACACUUAAGUUAAUUCGGUGUAUUUAACUAUUUAUUGACUUUUUGUUACAGUGAGUUUGUUUACCCGUUGACUCUAAAGUUCAGUUAGCUAAGCUAAAUAACUAGCUAGUUUAUUCAGCCGAGACUCCAACAUUUAGUCGGUUUAUUCAGUCAUUUACCUGUUCAGCCACUGACAGUUAAAUUCGGUCAGUUUAUCUAACCGUUGACUCUUGAGUUUAAUUUGGUUUAUUUAUUACUUGUUGACGCUUUAACUCACUGCACCUGUUUAGCCGUUGACAGUUCUGUUCGGUCAGUUUAUCUAACAGUUGACUUGUGAGUUCAAUUCGGUUUAUUUACUACUCAUUGACUUUUUAACUCACUGCACCUGUUUAGCCGUUGACAGUUCAGUUGGGUAAGCUUAUCUAUCGUACAGUUGACUUGUGAGUUUAAUUCGGUUUAUUUACUACUCAUUGACUGUUUAACUCACUGCAACGGUUUAGCUGCUGAAUGUUCAGGGAACUGAUAAGAACUGAAGAACAGUAACAGACCACUGGCACAUCAGAUCAGUCAUGGUGUGGAAAAAACACAACCUCACAACCUGCAAGACUGUCCAAGAAAAACACAGCUGUUGUGGAAACUGCUUCAGAGACAUCCUGAGAAACCUUGGAUGCGGCUCCCAUCUUUGCUGCAACCAUAACUACCACCUUUCUCUGGAAUGAGUUGCUGCCCAACCAGAACCGCUCCCAGCAGGCCCUCAGAAAACAGAGGCACGGGUGGAAUGGUGUGAAAGUUUCCAAUAAUGAUAACAGUGUCUAAAAUAACAAUGGUUUUCUGGAUUAUAGCAGUAUUGUUUGAGCACUAUAGAUUAAAACAAAAGCAGUUUUUGGUUUGAUUUUAAUUAUUUUUUACUAAUUGUUUAUUAAGAUAAGCUGAAGUAUCUUUUAAACAAUACAUAAACUUUUAAACAAUACAUAAUUUAAGUUUUGAGGGUUUAAAU